UGGGGAAUCUUGCGCAAUGGGCGAAAGCCUGACGCAGCGACGCCGCGUGCGGGAAGAAGGCCUUCGGGUUGUAAACCGCUUUCAGGAGGGACGAAGCCACUCGGGUUAAUAGCCCAGAGGGUGACGGUACCUCCAGAAGAAGCCCCGGCUAACUACGUGCCAGCAGCCGCGGUAAUACGUAGGGGGCAAGCGUUGUCCGGAUUUAUUGGGCGUAAAGAGCGUGUAGGCGGCCAAAUAGGUCGGUUGUGAAAACUGGAGGCUUAACCUCCAGACGUCGACCGAAACCAUCUGGCUAGAGUCCGGAAGAGGAGAGUGGAAUUCCUGGUGUAGCGGUGAAAUGCGCAGAUAUCAGGAAGAACACCCGUGGCGAAGGCGGCUCUCUGGGACGGUACUGACGCUGAGACGCGAAAGCGUGGGGAGCGAACA
rnacentral:rRNA from 1 species